UGACUCUCAGUUCACGUCUGUAUCCUCCAAACUACACUCUCUUCCACACUCAUUUAAACUGGGCAGACCACAAAUAUGGGUUUAAAUAUAACUCAAUUAAAAAUGUCUUUGAAAAUUACCCACAAGAUGGAUGAAUGAAUAGUUAACUGAUGCCGGAUGAAUUUGUAAUCAGAUUACCUGCCCAAAGUAUCUUAAGACCUGUAACAGUGAGCGUUAACAAUGCCAAGUACCCCGCCUGUGCUGACCCGGGAAUAUUGGGGGAAGAAUCCAUGGAGAAAAAAGAUAAUUCAAAAUCCAGAUUUGUUCCCAUGACUUGUAAUUUUCCUGAAUGUGAUUCAAGACACUUGGAGAGGGCUGGCGGGCAGGAAUAGCUGAACACUUAUACUCUGAUCAAGGUAGCUGGCAGAUCCGAUAAUACUACAAGCAUCUUACCUACCACUUUACUUCGGUCUCUUGCUUUCACUAUAGGUCACAUAUGUAUGUUGUGAAUAA